rnacentral:lncRNA from 1 species
AUUCAACUGAUGAAGUUUGUAUUUCUUUCAACUGAUGAGCCUAGCACAACAUUCAACUGAUGAAGUCAAGAGCAGUUGAAAGUAACCAGAACUUUCAAUUGAUGAAGCAAAGAGCAGUUGAAAGUGACUAGAGCUUAAGCCUGACAAAUCACAUGGAUCGAAUUACACUAAAAUAGACAUGGAAGCCUAAUUAGGAAAAUAAAGAAGAAGCAGAAACAUACUUAUCUCAUGCAGUGCAAUCUG